rnacentral:sRNA from 1 species
UGUAAACCUAAAGUCUCUUCUGAAUAUGAAAAAUGUAUUAAAGAUUGUGAAUCACACUGCAAUACAUUAUCCCCUGAUCCUAUAUUUAAAUGUUUUACUAGCUGUGACUUAAUGAAGGUCAUUGCCUACAACACUGGCGCUCAUGAUCUUGCAAAUAACGUGAUGAAUACAUGCAUGGAAGAGUGUACGAAAAGUUGUAAUUUCUAAGAACUUUUGAG